GAGGGAGCUGUUUGUCAUGGCCCGAGAACAUGCUCCCUCCAUCAUCUUCAUGGACGAGAUCGACUCUAUCGGUUCUUCACGGCUGGAGGGAGGCUCUGGAGGCGACAGUGAGGUACAGCGCACAAUGCUGGAACUGCUCAACCAGCUGGAUGGCUUUGAGGCCACUAAGAAUAUCAAGGUUAUCAUGGCUACUAAUAGGAUUGAUAUCCUGGACUCUGCCCUGCUUCGUCCUGGGAGGAUUGACAGGAAAAUUGAAUUCCCACCUCCCAAUGAGGAGGUCUGUGCUGGAGGUGCCUGGAGGAGCCCUGGCUGUGGAGACAGAGCAGGGCUUACGGCUUUCUUUCUUCUCUUGUCCCUAGGCCCGGCUGGACAUUUUGAAAAUCCACUCUCGGAAAAUGAACUUGACCAGGGGGAUCAACCUGAGGAAAAUUGCUGAGUUGAUGCCAGGAGCUUCAGGGGCUGAAGUGAAGGGCGUGUGCACAGAGGCCGGCAUGUAUGCUCUGCGGGAACGGCGUGUCCACGUUACUCAGGAGGACUUUGAGAUGGCAGUAGCCAAGGUCAUGCAAAAGGAUAGUGAGAAAAACAUGUCCAUCAAGAAGCUUUGGAAGUGAGGGUGUGUCCUUUGUGUGGAUCCCUCAAAUAAAGGUCUGUGCGAUAAACUCCA
rnacentral:lncRNA from 1 species